rnacentral:rRNA from 1 species
UCAUACAAGAAGCCCAAGUCAAUAGCCAUUCGGCGUAAAGAGUGGUUACAUGUUAUCUACGCCGACUAAGAUCGAAAUGCAACUGAGCUGUCAUAAGCCCAAGAUUCACCUAAGUCCAACCUAAACACCAUCUUAGCCGCCAUGACCAAUUUAAGCCCACGAAAGCCAGGACACAAACUGGGAUUAGAUACCCCACUAUGCCAGGCCCUAAAUCUAGAUACCCAAACAUCUACUUACGUAUCCGCCUGAGAACUACGAGCACAAACGCUUAAAACUCUAAGGACUUGGCGGUGCCCCAAACCCACCUAGAGGAGCCUGUUCUGUAACCGAUAAUCCACGAUCCACCCAACCAUCCCUCGCCAACACAGCCUACAUACCGCCGUCGCCAGCCCACCUCCAAUGAAAGAACAAUAGUGAGCCCAACAGUCUACGCUAACAAGACAGGUCAAGGUAUAGCCCAUGGGAUGGAAGCAAUGGGCUACAUUUUCUAAAAUAGAACAAACGAAAAAGGGCAUGAAACCGGCCCUUAGAAGGAGGAUUUAGCAGUAAAGCGGGAUCAUCUUGAGCCCGCUUUAAGACGGCCCUGAGGCACGUACAUACCGCCCGUCACCCUCUUCAAGAGCCACCAACCCCAAUAAAUAAUUUACCCACUCCAGGCUAAAGACGAGGUAAGUCGUAACAA